rnacentral:rRNA from 1 species
UACAGAGGUCCCAAGCGUUGUUCGGAUUCACUGGGCGUAAAGGGUGCGUAGGCGGUCGGGUAAGUCUGAUGUGAAAUCUCACAGCUUAACUGUGAAACUGCAUUGGAUACUAUCCGGCUCGAGGAAUGGAGGGGAGACUGGAAUACUUGGUGUAGCAGUGAAAUGCGUAGAUAUCAAGUGGAACACCAGUGGCGAAGGCGAGUCUCUGGACAGUCCCUGACGCUGAGGCACGAAAGCGUGGGGAGCAAACAGG